rnacentral:lncRNA from 1 species
GGAAGAGAGAGAUAUACAGAGAGAGGGAGGGAGAGAUAUACAGAAGGAAGGAGGGAGGUAUAUACAGAGAGAGGGAGGGAGAGAUAUACAGAGAGAGGAAGAGAGAGAUAUACAGAGAGAGGGAGGGAGAGAUAUACAGAAGGAAGGAGGGAGGGAGAGAUAUACACAGGGAGGGAGAGAUAUACAGAGAGAGGAAGAGAGAGAUAUACAGAGAGAGGGAGGGAGAGAUAUACAGAGGGAGGGAGGGAGAGAUAUACAGAGAGAGGGAGGGAGGGAGAGAUAUACAGAGGGAGGGAGGGAGAGAUAUACAGAGAGAGGGAGGGUGGGAGAGAUAUACAGAGGGAGGGAGAGAUAUACAGAGGGAGGGAGAGAUAGAGAAGGAAGGAGGGAG